CGUAGCUCAGCUGGAUAGAGUACCUGGCUACGAACCAGGCGGUCAGAGGUUCGAAUCCUCUCGAGCGCGCCA
rnacentral:tRNA from 2 species